rnacentral:rRNA from 1 species
GAUGAACGCUGGCGGCGUGCUUAACACAUGCAAGUCGAACGGUGAAGGCGGAGCUUGCUCUGCUGGAUCAGUGGCGAACGGGUGAGUAACACGUGAGCAAUCUGCCCCUGACUCUGGGAUAAGCGCUGGAAACGGCGUCUAAUACUGGAUACGAGCUGCGAAGGCAUCUUCAGCAGCUGGAAAGAACUUCGGUCAGGGAUGAGCUCGCGGCCUAUCAGCUUGUUGGUGAGGUAACGGCUCACCAAGGCGUCGACGGGUAGCCGGCCUGAGCGGGUGACCGGCCACACUGGGACUGAGACACGGCACAGACUCCUACGGGAGGCAGCAGUGGGGAAUAUUGCACAAUGGGCGAAAGCCUGAUGCAGCAACGCCGCGUGAGGGACGACGGCCUUCGGGUUGUAAACCUCUUUUAGCAGGGAAGAAGCGAAAGUGACGGUACCUGCAGAAAAAGCGCCGGCUAACUACGUG